AUGAACGCUGGCGGCGUGCCUAAUACAUGCAAGUCGAGCGAACGGACGAGAAGCUUGCUUCUCUGAUGUUAGCGGCGGACGGGUGAGUAACACGUGGAUAACCUACCUAUAAGACUGGGAUAACUUCGGGAAACCGGAGCUAAUACCGGAUGAUAUUUUGAACCGCAUGGUUCAAAAGUGAAAGACGGUCUUGCUGUCACUUAUAGAUGGAUCCGCGCUGCAUUAGCUAGUUGGUAAGGUAACGGCUUACCAAGGCAACGAUGCAUAGCCGACCUGAGAGGGGGAUCGGCCACACUGGAACUGAGACACGGUCCAGACUCCUACGGGAGGCAGCAGUAGGGAAUCUUCCGCAAUGGGCGAAAGCCUGACGGAGCAACGCCGCGUGAGUGAUGAAGGUCUUCGGAUCGUAAAACUCUGUUAUUAGGGAAGAACAUAUGUGUAAGUAACUGUGCACAUCUUGACGGUACCUAAUCAGAAAGCCACGGCUAACUACGUG
rnacentral:rRNA from 1 species